UACGUAGGGUGCGAGCGUUAAUCGGAAUUACUGGGCGUAAAGCGUGCGCAGGCGGUUCGUUGUGUCCGUGGUGAAAGCCCGAGGCUCAACUUCGGGUCGGCCAUGGAUACUCCUGGGCUCGAGCACUGUAGAGGCAGGUGGAAUUCCGGGUGUAGCGGUGGAAUGCGUAGAGAUCCGGAAGAACACCGGUGGCGAAGGCGGUCUGCUGGGCCAAGACUGACGCUGAGGCGCGACAGCGUGGGGAGCAAACAGG
rnacentral:rRNA from 1 species